AGCGAACGCUGGCGGCAGGCCUAACACAUGCAAGUCGAACGAACUCUUCGGAGUUAGUGGCGGACGGGUGAGUAACACGUGGGAACGUGCCUUUUGGUUCGGAAUAACUCAGGGAAACUUGUGCUAAUACCGAAUGUGCCCUUCGGGGGAAAGAUUUAUCGCCAUUAGAGCGGCCCGCGUCUGAUUAGCUAGUUGGUGAGGUAAAAGCUCACCAAGGCGACGAUCAGUAGCUGGUCUGAGAGGAUGACCAGCCACACUGGGACUGAGACCCGGCCCAGACUCCUACGGGAGGCAGCAGUGGGGAAUCUUGCGCAAUGGGCGAAAGCCUGACGCAGCCAUGCCGCGUGAAUGAUGAAGGUCUUAGGAUUGUAAAAUUCUUUCACCGGGGACGAUAAG
rnacentral:rRNA from 1 species